rfam:Cylindrobasidium torrendii FP15055 ss-10 unplaced genomic scaffold CYLTOscaffold_393, whole genome shotgun sequence.
UCCGAUAUGGUGUAGUGGCUAACAUUAUCGCCUCUCACGCGAUAGCCCGGGGUUUAAUUCCCCGUGUCGGAA